CGUGAUCUUUUGGCACCGCUGAGCGACGAAGUGGACGUGGUUGUUGGGCGUGGGCGUGUUGGAAUGCCAGGGCAUCAACUGCGGUAGACCGAAGCAAAGGGAUACAGCUAUAAAAGAAUACCGAGAGGGCUAUAAGCCCACAAUCGGAUCGCGCGACCACUGUCCAUCAAGACACAGGUGACCACUGGACAGACAGCUAUGAGGGAUCAUCUGCGAGACACCUUUGGUACACGCUACGACAUCUCAGGCCCUGUAACGAACAACAUGUCUAAGAAGGGGUGUGUCAGCCGAAUACGCUAAUCCUCGAAUCCUACACUCAAAGAAAAAGAGCAGAAACAAACCACAGAGUUGAAGCCCUCGUUCUACCAGCGUAGUGUGUGAAAUGUCCCAGGAAGUGCCACCUUUGAUUGCUGAGCAUGCUCUGACACUCACACAAAGAGCUGAAGAGGAAGUCCUGCUGUUGCCACCUGUUGCAUCACAGGUGAAGGUGCAUUUCGGCCACGACAUCUACAUCGAACUAUACAAGUGGGUCUUUUCCAGUGAAGCGAAGACGGACUCCUUGUUUUGCCGAGAAAUUUAUCGAUCAUUGUGGGACCCUAGGGAACUCGUCGGAAGGAGUAUCACUGGUGAAGCAACCAGGAGCUUCAAGAAAGAGGGCUGGCCACCCAAGAAGGCUCUGACGUGAAGAAAGCUCUCUGUAGUGCAAACUUAGUAGCCACAUGUCUAAUAUAUAUUGCAUGUGCUUCUUAGGUACUGUGUACAAAUUUAACAGGCACAGCUUUGAAUGUCAGGUUACCUCGAUCUAUCAACAUUAUCUUUAACAGUGUCUGUGCCGUAGUUGAGUUCAGUACCAAAAUCUUGUCUGUCAUGUCCCUGUACAAAGGAUCGAGCUUGGUCCCGUAGUACGACUUAGCCUGUAGACUGUGUCAGCGUAGGUAUUCCGGCCAACACUAUAACAUGUUCAGAUAUUGGCAAAACAGUUAACAGGAUGGGCUCAUAUGAAGUGGUCGAUUUCGGUUGAGGUGUUCUUUGCUGGCACACCGAUAAAGCUGAACAAAUCUGUCGUACACCAUGCUCCAUCACUUUCCAGCGUUUGGUCGGUCUUUGUGGGUCCACUCUUUGCAAUGCACCCAUCUCAUUGGAUCACGGAUAGGGUUUGCCACUCUGACCUUUCUCUGAUGGUCAAGGUUGUCACCAAUUCGGGAGCAAAGCCUGCGCGUAAGCCCAAAUAUGUGCAGUGUGAUGUUUGACCCUUGUCGUCGUUACGGUAGUACUCGCUCUACUGUUACCACGAUGUCUUUUAUCCUUUGAGAAACACAUUUUUUUGUGUGUGUAUCUCUGCACGCCCUGUUGUGCCAUGAAGCCUGCAAAACGCCUGCAUGAAUCCUGAACCGUGUUACUCUUCUUGGCCGUGCGUGGUAGCAGUAUGCUUUCACUUUCUCGUCAUUAUAUCCAGCACUUGCAAUAUUUUCACAGUACAAUGCAUAUUAUUUGAUUUUCAGAUGCCUUCAACUGAUAUGUCGAGAUGACGGCCCCUGCAAGUCUUUCCCGUGAAAGCACGGAGGAGAGAGAGAAGAGGGCCAAAGAAAUGGCCACCAGAAAAGCGGUGUUUAGGGCGCACAUAAGGGUAAUGUUAAAUGACAUG